rnacentral:ribozyme from 13 species
UGUGUAUUCAAUUCCCAUUUCUGCUGUUUUCUUUCUUUUUGUUUUUUCUUUCUCGCUUCUUUUUUUCUUUUCAGGUGGUGGCUGAGAAGGAAGAGAAUGAAAAAAGUCAGGCGGUACUUUUCUAUUUCGAAGACUCCUUCUCGUUGGUUCUCUCUCUUCUUCUAUUGAAGAGAGAGAAGAAGA